AUACCCUGGGCGAGUUCCUGGUUUCUGAGGUGGGAGAGCCAUCACUGGAGAGGUGGCAUUGGCGCCAGUACUCAGGCCAGAAGCCCCUUGUGCCCUGCUCUCAGGGGUUUCCUCCCAUAUUGGAUCACGAUGAAAACUGCACAGAAAGUCCGUGCUCAGUUUCUUCCAUGGUUACAGAACACAGGCCCCAGACCAGGAAGGCAUUCUGCUAAAGAAGGGGACCCGAAACCUCAGCUACCAGCGCCGAUGGUUCAUCCUCCGAGGAAACCUCCUCUUCUACCUAGAACACUAGACCGACCAUGCACCCCUGAGCCUCAUCCUGUUAGAGAACUGCCAGGUGGAACCACACCUUAAGGCUGCAGAACCCUAUGCCUUUACCAUCCUGACCCCUGGGGUGGAGGGCACAGGUGGGCGGGCCUACAAGCUGGCUGCAGAAACCCAGGAAGAGCUGGAGACUUGGCUGUGGGCACUGGCUGGCGCGAGCUGGAGGCGGCUGGCUGGGCUGCUGUCCCCCCUCCCCCCCCACCAAAACCCAAUACUGGGAGCUGUGCCAGGCAACUGGCCAAGAACCCAUCUCAUCCCCAGAGGACAGUGGCUUUCUAGCCACUGUGAGUACCCCCUCCAGCUUCCAGGAGUUGCAUGAGCACUUUGGGAAGGAGAUCCGGGUGCUGCACGUGGUACAUAGAGAGCUCCAGGCAGCCAGUGACAAUGGAGACAGCAGAUCCCAGGCAAAGAUGGAGCAGGAGCUCAACCAGUGUCUGAUGAGUGACUGAGAGAUGGACCCAAAGCUAAGAGGUACCUACUUGCCAAGACAGCAGACUGCUUCAACAGAGACCCAGGUCCUGGCUCUGUCCCUCCCUCCCUCGUCCUUACCCCAUCCCCCCCUCAUCAAAUAACAAGGCAGAAAACAGGCCCAGGUACAACA
rnacentral:lncRNA from 10 species